UACGGAGGGUGCAAGCGUUAUCCGGAUUCACUGGGUUUAAAGGGUGCGUAGGCGGCGGGGCAAGUCGGAUGUGAAAUCUCAGGGCUCAACCUCGAACUGCAUUCGAUACUGCCUUGCUCGAGGACUGGAGAGGAGAUUGGAAUUCACGGUGUAGCAGUGAAAUGCGUAGAUAUCGUGAGGAAGACCAGUGGCGAAGGCGGAUCUCUGGACAGUUCCUGACGCUGAGGCACGAAGGCCAGGGGAGCAAACCGGG
rnacentral:rRNA from 1 species